rnacentral:rRNA from 1 species
GAGUUUGAUCGUGGCUCAGAUUGAACGCUGGCGGAAUGCUUUACACAUGCAAGUCGAGCGGCAGCGCGGGGCAACCUGGCGGCGAGCGGCGAACGGGUGAGUAAUGCAUCGGAACAUGUCCAUGUCGUGGGGGAUAGCCCGGCGAAAGCCGGAUUAAUACCGCAUGUGCCCUUCGGGGGAAAGCGGGGGACCGCAAGGCCUCGCGCGAUUGGGUUGGCCGAUGUCCGAUUAGCUAGUUGGUGGGGUAAUGGCCCACCAAGGCGAUGAUCGGUAGCUGGUCUGAGAGGAUGAUCAGCCACACUGGGACUGAGGCACGGCCCAGACUCCUACGGGAGGCAGCAGUGGGGAAUUUUGGACAAUGGGGGAAACCCUGAUCCAGCCAUUCCGCGUGAGUGAAGAAGGCCUUCGGUUGUAAG